rnacentral:rRNA from 1 species
GAGUUUGAUCCUGGCUCAGAUUGAACGCUGGCGGCAGGCCUAACACAUGCAAGUCGAGCGGUAGAGAGAAGCUUGCUUCUCUUGAGAGCGGCGGACGGGUGAGUAAUGCCUAGGAAUCUGCCUGGUAGUGGGGGAUAACGCUCGGAAACGGACGCUAAUACCGCAUACGUCCUACGGGAGAAAGCAGGGGACCUUCGGGCCUUGCGCUAUCAGAUGAGCCUAGGUCGGAUUAGCUAGUUGGUGAGGUAAUGGCUCACCAAGGCGACGAUCCGUAACUGGUCUGAGAGGAUGAUCAGUCACACUGGAACUGAGACACGGUCCAGACUCCUACGGGAGGCAGCAGUGGGGAAUAUUGGACAAUGGGCGAAAGCCUGAUCCAGCCAUGCCGCGUGUGUGAAGAAGGUCUUCGGAUUGUAAAGCACUUUAAGUUGGGAGGAAGGGCAGUAAAAUUAAUAACUUUGCUGUUUGACGUUACCGACAGAAUAAGCACCGGCUAACUCUGUGCCAGCCGCCG